rnacentral:rRNA from 1 species
GGCGUAAGGGCUCGCAGGCGGUUUCUUAAGUCUGAUGUGAAAGCCCCCGGCUCAACCGGGGAGGGUCAUUGGAAACUGGGGAACUUGAGUGCAGAAGAGGAGAGUGGAAUUCCACGUGUAGCGGUGAAAUGCGUAGAGAUGUGGAGGAACACCAGUGGCGAAGGCGACUCUCUGGUCUGUAACUGACGCUGAGGAGCGAAAGCGUGGGGAGCGAACAGGAUUAGAUACCCUGGUAGUCCACGCCGUAAACGAUGAGUGCUAAGUGUUAGGGGGUUUCCGCCCCUUAGUGCUGCAGCUAACGCAUUAAGCACUCCGCCUGGGGAGUACGGUCGCAAGACUGAAACUCAAAGGAAUUGACGGGGGCCCGCACAAGCGGUGGAGCAUGUGGUUUAAUUCGAAGCAACGCGAAGAACCUUACCAGGUCUUGACAUCCUCUGACAAUCCUAGAGAUAGGACGUCCCCUUCGGGGGCAGAGUGACAGGUGGUGCAUGGUUGUCGUCAGCUCGUGUCGUGAGAUGUUGGGUUAAGUCCCGCAACGAGCGCAACCCUUGAUCUUAGUUGCCAGCAUUCAGUUGGGCACUCUAAGGUGACUGCCGGUGACAAACCGGGAGAAGGUGGGGAUGACGUCAAAUCAUCAUGCCCCUUAUGACCUGGGCUACACACGUGCUA